CAAUAGCGUAUAUUUAAGUUGUUGCAGUUAAAAAGCUCGUAGUUGGAUUUCGGAUGGGACUUGCCGGUCCGUCGUUUCGAUGUGCACUGGCCAGUCCUAUCUUGUUGUCGGGGACUAGCUCCUGGGCUUCACUGUCCGGGACUAGGAGCUGACGAGGUUACUUUGAGUAAAUUAGAGUGUUCAAAGCAAGCCUACGCUCUGAAUACAUUAGCAUGGAAUAACACGAUAGGACUCUGGCUUAUCUUGUUGGUCUGUGAGACCAGAGUAAUGAUUAAGAGGGACAGUCGGGGGCAUUCGUAUUCCAUUGUCAGAGGUGAAAUUCUUGGAUUUAUGAAAGACGAACUUCUGCGAAAGCAUUUGUCAAGGAUGUUUUCAUUAA
rnacentral:rRNA from 1 species